ensembl:snoRNA
CUGGCCCUGAAUCAAAGCCAGCAGCUUCCUGAUGCUGUUGGUUUCAAGCAGGAGCCUAAAGAGAUGUCUAUGGUCUGUUGGCCAUUUCAGAACUUGGGCAGUGAAAUGGUCAAUUCAUUAGAAAAAAACAGCU